CAUGAACACCAAUGUGAUUUAUUUUACUAAAAAUAUAAACUUUUUUGUUUUUAAGUAUUUUUGUCAAUUUUUAUGCAAAUAAGUUCAUUUGUGGUGGUUAGUGUCAAUUGGAGCUUUGUUUCUCUCUUGUGUCCUUACCAAUUUUGUUUGUUAUAAAUUAAUAGCAAUCUUCUGUGUUUGAGUCUUCUUAGUGCUGAAACUGUUGUAAGGUGACAAUGACGCGAAGUGUUAAGCUUAAAAACGGUGAACAAGAGAAGGGGUUUCGGAAUUUGCACGGAAAUUUUGAUCUCAAUGUAAGUGCUUCCGAACUGGAGGAGCAGCCUAAUGUAAAGUGUCAAUUAAUAGAAAAGCAUAAUAGCCACUUUAGUGACUUUCCUCGAAGGAUGGAGAAUCACAAAGAUAACGAUAAUGUGGAACCCCGCCAACACGGAGAGCAUGUACAGCAGACAAAGACGGUUGAAGGGUGUAUCGAUCACUUGUUGAUUCUUGCUCAAUCUGCCGAGAUAGUAGCACAAUCCGAAGAUGGCAUAACUAGGACGGAUACGGAUCAAAAUAAAGGUUAAUACUGAACAUACUAAAUUGGCUUCAUUUAGGAUUUACCUAAUGUUGUGUCAUUUUUAUCAAUGCAGACUUACAUAACAACUUAGUUGGUCAAAUAUCACAAGGAUAUUCAAUUUUGAAAUUUCUUCCGUGCACUUUGGAAUCCCAAAGUCAGAAGAGUUUGAUAACUAACCCCUAUUUUCGUGUUUAUAGAUCAGGAAUACUCUCGAGAACUACUUCAUAUUUCACCAGUGGAUUCUCCACUAUGUAGUCAAGGCUUUGAGUUUCGCAAUGAAGUUACAAGACCCUGCUUAACUCAAAUUCCGAAGCAAACUGCAUGUGAGUAUCGUAUAAUGGAUCAAGAGAAGCGUGGGGAUAACCAAUGCAAACAUUUGCAUGGAAAAACAAUCCGCUUGAGCCAAAUAAAGCAUCGAGCUAGGUGCAAAAGUAAGAAGGAUUUGGCACCACAAAAAAUGACGAGUAGACUUAGAAAUGAGCAACCGCGAGGAAGAAUACUUCGACUGAGUCAGAUGAAAAACCGAGCUCGGUCAAAGGGCAAUACAACAGUGAAAGAACGUACUGAGGAACAUAUAGGCAGGAGUCUUCAUUGCAAUAUAUUUAAAGGUGAAUAAUGAGGAACCUAAUAGUGUGAGCAGAGCGGCAGUUUUGUUGAGUUUAUGCAGAGAGCAGAACACUUUUUUCCUUGACAUUACAUAAAGCUAUGAUUAACCCAAUGUUAUCAUUGUUAUAGAUAAUAAGGAAACGAUGGUUGCAAGCCGACUUGUGGAAGAAGGUACUUGUCAAGGGGGUAAGGCUCUUUCUUCCGUAAGUCAUUAACGUUAAACAAGAUCGAUCAUAUGGUACUUGAUGCGGAGUUAGUUGGUGCAGUCAUGUAAUCCUCCACAGAACUGCAAUCUCAGAUGCACAUACGGAAUUUAUGCCUGUCAAAAGGUUACGCUUGACUCAACUGAGACGUGAAGUUCGAUCGGGGUAUCAAUGGCAUUCUGUUAUACAAGGCCCUGGUAAAAAAGUAGAG
rnacentral:lncRNA from 1 species